UACGAAGGGGGCGAGCGUUGUUCGGAAUUACUGGGCGUAAAGGGUGCGUAGGCGGUCGCGCAAGUCGGAUGUGAAAUCUCAGGGCUCAACCCUGAAACUGCAUUCGAUACUGCGUGGCUAGAGUGCUGGAGAGGAGACUGGAAUUUACGGUGUAGCAGUGAAAUGCGUAGAUAUCGUAAGGAAGACCAGUGGCGAAGGCGAGUCUCUGGACAGCAACUGACGCUGAGGCACGAAGGCCAGGGGAGCAAACGGG
rnacentral:rRNA from 1 species